rnacentral:hammerhead_ribozyme from 1 species
AUCCAGUUGAUGAGUCCCGAAUAGAACGAAAUGUGCGUACUGGAU